UGCCUUUUGUGUUGCCCACUUAAUUCUUUUACAUAGAUGAGUGAGGUGUCAAAAAAGGCAUAAAGUAACUUGAGCUAUUUCAUGCAUCCUGUUGCUGUUGUGCUUCAAGACAUUG